GACGAACGCUGGCGGCGUGCCUACUACAUGCAAGUCGAGCGGACGAAUCGACAGCUUGCUUUUGCUUCGUUAGCGGCGGACGGGUGAGUAACACGUGGGCAAUCUCCCCUGUAUACGGGGAUAACACCGAGAAAUCGGUGCUACUACCGGAUAACACGAAAUGUCGCAUGACGUUUCGUUGAAAGACGGCGCAUGCUGCCGCCACAGGAUGUGUCCGCGUCGCGUUAGCUAGGUGGUGUGGUAACGGCUUACCAAGGCGGCGAUCGGUCGCCGAAGUGAGAGGGGGGUAGGCCACACUGGAAGUGGAACGGGGCCCAGACUCCUACGGGAGGCAGCAGUAGGGAAUCGUACGCAAUGGAGGAAAGUAUGACGGAGCAAGGCCGCGUGAGAGAAGAAGGCCUUCGGGUCGUAAAGCUCUGUUGUUAGGGAAGAACAAGUAACGCAGUAACUGGCGUUACAGUGACGGUACCUAACGAGAAAGCCACGGCUAACUACGUG
rnacentral:rRNA from 1 species